AGAGUUUGAUCAUGGCUCAGGACGAACGCUGGCGGCGUGCUUAACACAUGCAAGUCGAACGGAAAGGCCCUUCGGGGUACUCGAGUGGCGAACGGGUGAGUAACACGUGGGUGAUCUGCCCUGCACUCUGGGAUAAGCCUGGGAAACUGGGUCUAAUACCGGAUAGGACCGCAUGCUUCAUGGUGUGUGGUGCAAAGCUUUUGCGGUGUGGGAUGAGCCCGCGGCCUAUCAGCUUGUUGGUGGGGUAAUGGCCUACCAAGGCGACGACGGGUAGCCGGCCUGAGAGGGUGACCGGCCACACUGGGACUGAGAUACGGCCCAGACUCCUACGGGAGGCAGCAGUGGGGAAUAUUGCACAAUGGGCGCAAGCCUGAUGCAGCGACGCCGCGUGAGGGAUGACGGCCUUCGGGUUGUAAACCUCUUUCAGUAGGGACGAAGCGAAAGUGACGGUACCUACAGAAGAAGGACCGGCCAACUACGUGCCAGCAGCCGCGGUAAUACGUAGGGUCCAAGCGUUGUCCGGAAUUACUGGGCGUAAAGAGCUCGUAGGUGGUUUGUCGCGUUGUUCGUGAAAACUCACAGCUUAACUGUGGGCGUGCGGGCGAUACGGGCAGACUAGAGUACUGCAGGGGAGACUGGAAUUCCUGGUGUAGCGGUGGAAUGCGCAGAUAUCAGGAGGAACACCGGUGGCGAAGGCGGGUCUCUGGGCAGUAACUGACGCUGAGGAGCGAAAGCGUGGGGAGCGAACAGGAUUAGAUACCCCGGUAGUCCAA
rnacentral:rRNA from 1 species